rnacentral:tRNA from 1 species
ACUCCCUUAGUAUAAUUUAAUAUAACUGACUUCCAAUCAGUAGAUUCCGACAUAAACGGAAGAGAGUA